CACCAGACUCCUACGGGAGGCAGCAGUGGGGAAUAUUGCACAAUGGGGGAAACCCUGAUGCAGCGACGCCGCGUGAGCGAUGAAGUAUUUCGGCAUGUAAAGCUCUAUCAGCAGGGAAGAAAAUGACGGUACCUGACUAAGAAGCCCCGGCUAACUACGUGCCAGCAGCCGCGGUAAUACGUAGGGGGCAAGCGUUAUCCGGAUUUACUGGGUGUAAAGGGAGCGUAGACGGCUGUGCAAGCCAGAUGUGAAAGCCCGGGGCUCAACCCCGGGACUGCAUUUGGAACUGUGUGGCUGGAGUGUCGGAGAGGCAGGCGGAAUUCCUAGUGUAGCGGUGAAAUGCGUAGAUAUUAGGAGGAACACCAGUGGCGAAGGCGGCCUGCUGGACGAUGACUGACGUUGAGGCUCGAAAGCGUGGGGAGCAAACAGGAUUAGAUACCCGAGUA
rnacentral:rRNA from 1 species